rnacentral:rRNA from 1 species
GACGAACGCUGGCGGCGUGCUUAACACAUGCAAGUCGAACGGUAAGGCCCUGCUUUUGUUGGGUGCUUGAGUGGCGAACGGGUGAGUAACACGUGAGUAACCUGCCCUCGACUUUGGGAUAACGUCAGGAAACGGGUGCUAAUACCGGAUAUGAGCUGCUGCUGCAUGGUGGGGUGGGGAAAGUUGCGGGUGUGGGGGAUGGUCGGGCGGCUUAUUAGCUGGUUGUUGGUGUAGUGGUUUACCAAGGCUUUGACGGGUAGCCGGCCUGGGCGGGUGACGAGCGACAUUGGGCCCGGGAUACGGCGCGGAGUCGUACGGGGGACAGUAGUGGGGAAUAUGGAAGCAUGGGGGGGAGCCUGAUGGAGAGAGGCCGAGUGCGGGAUGAUGGGCUUCGGGUUGUAAACCGCUUUCGCCUGAGACAUAGCGGGAGUGACGGUAGUGGGUAAAGAAGCGCCGGCUAACUACGUG